rnacentral:miRNA from 1 species
AGCUAGAUCUUCUGGAUAACAUGCUGAAGCUUCUACCUCAGUUAGCACUUGUUUCAGCAUGUUAUCUGGAAGAUCUAG